rnacentral:lncRNA from 1 species
GGAUCCUACUUUGCAUUAACAUGUUUACUCUGAUUUAUAUGUUCUGAAGCUUGGGGGUUGUUUCCUGUGAUCUUGCUGCAUGUUUAAUGAUAAAUGUGUAUGAUAUGUUUCAGAUGCCCAAGUAUUAAGGAACAACUAGUAUCUUGAGAGGGUGCCAAUUUCUUUUUAGGGCUGCUUUCAUCUUUUUGUGUGCAUGUGCCACCCAGCUGUCACCUGAGGCUCCAAGAAGAUAUAUUAUGAACAGCGACCACACCAUGGUAAAUCAUCAUGGAUGGUACUACUGCAUUGUCCAAAUUUAUUGAUGCCUUUUUGUCAGACCUCAUCUAUUCUGAAGAUACAAUAAGUAAACCAUGAAAUAAGUUAAUUAAAGUGUCCUAAAUGUGUCAUUUAUCUA